GACGAACGCUGGCGGCGUGCCUAAUACAUGCAAGUCGAACGCUUCUUUCCUCCCGAGUGCUUGCACUCAAUUGGAAAGAGGAGUGGCGGACGGGUGAGUAACACGUGGGCAACCUACCCAUCAGAGGGGGAUAACACUUGGAAACAGGUGCUAAUACCGCAUAACAGUUUAUGCCGCAUGGCAUAAGAGUGAAAGGCGCUUUCGGGUGUCGUUGAUGGAUGGACCCGCGGUGCAUUAGCUAGUUGGUGAGGUAACGGCUCACCAAGGCCACGAUGCAUAGCCGACCUGAGAGGGUGAUCGGCCACACUGGGACUGAGACACGGCCCAGACUCCUACGGGAGGCAGCAGUAGGGAAUCUUCGGCAAUGGACGAAAGUCUGACCGAGCAACGCCGCGUGAGUGAAGAAGGUUUUCGGAUCGUAAAACUCUGUUGUUAGAGAAGAACAAGGACGUUAGUAACUGAACGUCCCCUGACGGUAUCUAACCAGAAAGCCACGGCUAACUACGUG
rnacentral:rRNA from 1 species